rnacentral:rRNA from 1 species
GACGAACGCUGCGGCGUGCUUAACACAUGCAAGUCGAACGGAAAGGCCCCUUUGGGGGUACUCGAGUGGCGAACGGGUGAGUAACACGUGAGUAACCUGCCCUUGACUUCGGGAUAACUUCAGGAAACUGGGGCUAAUACCGGAUAGGAAUCCUUGCUGCAUGGUGGGGGUUGGAAAGCUUCGGCGGUUUUGGAUGGACUCGCGGCUUAUCAGCUUGUUGGUGGGGUAGUGGCUUACCAAGGCUUUGACGGGUAGCCGGCCUGAGAGGGCGACCGGCCACAUUGGGGCUGAGAUACGGCCCAGACUCCUACGGGAGGCAGCAGUGGGGAAUAUUGCACAAUGGGCGGAAGCCUGAUGCAGCAACGCCGCGUGCGGGAUGACGGCCUUCGGGUUGUAAACCGCUUUCAGCAGGGGCGAAGCUUGUGGUGACGGUACCUGCAGAAGAAGCACCGGCUAACUACGUG